rfam:Gossypium raimondii Chr11_contig_1267, whole genome shotgun sequence.
UGUUAAAAAUUUUACCUAUUUGUGUUGUUAAAAAUUAGCGUGCCUAACCAAACAAUCAUAUAAUGACAUGUGGCAUGCCACAUGCACGUCAUGUUGACAUAUAGAGAUUAGUUUUUUAAACUACAAAUAGAUGAAUUUUGUAAUA